GCGGAUAUUCAGCUCCAAUAGCGUAUACUAAAGCUGCUGCGGUUAAAAAGCUCGUAGUUGGAUCUCAGUUCCAGACGAGUAGUGCAUCUACCCGAUGCGACGGCUCGGACUGAACAUCAUGCCGGUUCUUUCUUGGUGCACUUCAUUGUGUGCCUCGAGAUGGCCGGUGCUUUUACUUUGAAAAAAUUAGAGUGCUCAACGCAGGCGAGUCGCCUGAAUAAACUUGCAUGGAAUAAUAGAACAAGACCUCGUUUCUGUUCUGUUGGUUUU
rnacentral:rRNA from 1 species